rnacentral:pre_miRNA from 1 species
AGUGUGAGAGAGGAUGGAGAGCCAUGUUUGUGGGAGUGCUUCGAGAUCCUGGAAUCCAACCUCAUUUCUACGC